GAAAUGCGAUAAGUAAUGUGAAUUGCAGAAUUCAGUGAAUCAUCGAAUCUUUGAAUGCACCUUGUGCUCCUUGGUAUUCCUUGGAGCAUGCCUGUUUGAGUAUCAUGAAAUCUUCAAAGUAAAUCUUUUGUUAACUCAAUUGGUUUCUACUUUGGUAUUGGAGGUCUUUGCAGCUUCACACCUGCUCCUCUUUGUUCAUUAGCUGGAUCUCAGUGUUAUGCUUGGUUCCACUCGGCGUGAUAAGUUAUCUAUCGCUGAGGACACUGUAAAAGGUGGCCAAGGUAAAUGCAGAUGAACCGCUUCUAAUAGUCCAUUGACUUGGACAAUACUUUUAUGAUCUGAUCUCAAAUCAGGUAGGACUACCCGCUGAACUUAAGC
rnacentral:misc_RNA from 1 species